rnacentral:rRNA from 1 species
AGCGAACGCUGGCGGCAGGCUUAACACAUGCAAGUCGAGCGGGUGUAGCAAUACAUCAGCGGCAGACGGGUGAGUAACGCGUGGGAACGUACCUUUUGGUUCGGAACAACACAGGGAAACUUGUGCUAAUACCGGAUAAGCCCUUACGGGGAAAGAUUUAUCGCCGAAAGAUCGGCCCGCGUCUGAUUAGCUAGUUGGUAGGGUAACGGCCUACCAAGGCGACGAUCAGUAGCUGGUCUGAGAGGAUGAUCAGCCACAUUGGGACUGAGACACGGCCCAAACUCCUACGGGAGGCAGCAGUGGGGAAUAUUGGACAAUGGGGGCAACCCUGAUCCAGCCAUGCCGCGUGAGUGAUGAAGGCCCUAGGGUUGUAAAGCUCUUUUGCGCGGGAAGAUAAUGACGGCACCGCAAGAAUAAGCCCCGGCUAACUUCGUGCCAGCCGCCGCCGUAACAC